rnacentral:rRNA from 1 species
CAGUUCGCCCACCUUUGGGAAAAGGUUGCUCAGGUCACACUUGCUGAGGAUAUGGAGGAUUCCAUUAUUUGGAAGUUCACCAAGGACGGUCUGUAUUCUUCCUCCUCGGCUUAAAAGGCGCAAUUCGAGGGCCUUACUACGUCGGACAGGGUCCAUUCGGUGUGGAAGGUGUGGGCUCCUCCGAGGUGCAAAUUUUUCGCUUGGCUUGCUCUUCAAAAUAGGAUUUGGACAUCAGAUCGCCUUCUUCGUCGUGGAUGGCCCAACUGCGGUCUUUGCCCACUUUGCAAGCAAAGUCAGCAAUCAGCGGCCCACCUUCUGUUCCAAUGUCGUUUUACCCUUCGCGUGUGGAAUGAUAUCCUUCAGUGGCUUGGCAUGCAUCACAUCAAUACCGCUGCUUGGAUGACGAGGGCUCGGUGA